UACGGGGGGAGCAAGCGUUGUUCGGAAUUACUGGGCGUAAAGGGCGCGCAGGCGGUUGGAUAAGUAGGUGGUGAAAACCUUGGGCUUAACUCAGGGCCUGCCAUCUAAACUGUCUGGCUAGAGUGUGGGAGAGGGAAGUGGAAUUCCUGGUGUAGCGGUGAAAUGCGUAGAUAUCAGGAGGAACACCGGUGGCGAAGGCGGCUUCCUGGACCACAACUGACGCUGAGGCGCGAAAGCUAGGGGAG
rnacentral:rRNA from 1 species